GAGCAAGUUGGGUUUCACUUCAUUUUUGCCCCGGUUACUUGUUUCUCAGUUCCCUCAUGUGAUACCGACCGGAUUCACAGGCCAAAGGGAAGAGGAAAGUCCAAUUGCUCUUUCUCAACAUCUUCACAGACCAAAGACUUCGUACAAUGUGAGCAGCCUGGGACCUCCCGUCCGAACCUCAUCUUUGAUACCUGUUUCCUCAACACCUGGACACACUUUUCACACCUGCCCCGACCGGGUUGGACUCUGGUCCGUCUCGACUGCAAAGGCGGCAGCCUUGUUCACCUAUGCAAGAGACGCCACGGCCGUCACCUGUCCUCCCACGACGAGCAACAUCACCAUCGCCACUCGGGUGUCUCGUCCUGGUCCAGAACCUCACACUGGGCUCCACGGCAGGACGUCCUCUGUAGCGGAGACUCGACUAUGGAAACAUCGGUGAUUUGCUUGGUUCUGACAUCGAUUCUGUUUGCACAGACCAUGGUUGUCCUCACAAAAUCCUGUGAUAACUUCUCGAUGACGACCGUCCUCACUCACCUGGUGAAAGACACCAUGUGCACGGUCAUGCUGCAGUUGUGGUUGUAUGCUGAGGCGUUGCAAAAAUAUUCCCGAAAAUUUGGCGAAGGGAUGCUGAAGAAGAAUCUCACAAAAAUUGCGGAGAAUACUCAGAAAGAUAUUAACCAAACCAACAUCAGACAAGUACGGAGCCAUUUACAAAAGAAGGAGGCUGAAGCCAACAAAACAAACAUGAAUAUCAUGGAAUUAUUUUCCCACAUGAAACAACUGUGGAACUUGACAAAGUUUCACGGGUUAGACUGUUCCUGCGGAAACUUCUCCCUCAACCGAAAACACCAAAUCAACACCACCACAAGUCAGCCAAACGUUUCUGAAUAUAAUGUGACAACUUUAUUAAAAUGUCCCUGGACAAAGAGUGAAAUCAGCUUCAAAGAAUGGCUGACACAAGUUCCAGCAUUCCUGAUGGGCAUGGUCACUUCGAUUCUACUUAUUGGCAUGGUGUACCUGUUCAAAAAUAAGUUCCACAAGCACAAACGGAACUACAUGAUGAACACAAACCGUGUGGUUGAGGAGAAUGAAGAGGAAGAUAUUCCAGGGAGUGUGUUGCUUGAGAGUGCAGCUGUGUAACGAAAACUGAUGGACAGAGGACAAUGAAAUCAGAUACAUCUUCAUUCACUGUGAAUAGAAUGCAUUUUUAAACCAUUGUAUUUUGUAUGUAGAAAUAUAUAAAUAUUUGUACAGUUUAUAUGUUGAAAUGAAAUAAAUUGAUAAUUUUCGUUUUUCUCCACUUGGUAAAAUGAUCAUCAUCAGAUCGGAUAUAUUCCAUUGGAUGCUCACCAUUUUAACAGGCCAUUGGUCUUUGUGAUGGUCCAUCGAUGAGGAAGGCCAACUUUGCUUUCAAUCCAUUUGAGGAAUUUGAUUCAGACACCUGCUUCUUUGUGUGCAAAAAUAAAUACAUCAAAAUAUCUUUAAAGAGCCCAAAGGAUGUGAGGCAAUGAGCCUGACGAGUCUUCAAAAAGAAGGCAUUCUGAACGAUUCACCAUAUGAUGUUAAGUACAUCUCAAACAACAGUUGUAUUAGAUGUGAUGCUGUGAGAAGUGGAAUGAACAUGCCACAGGAUUCAAUCCAAAACAAAAUGACGAUCACCAAGGGAUGCUGUCACUUGAGAUCACCCCCCAAAAUAGAGGCAAUAUCCCUGGGUGCUCAUCUGGUAGAAUAAGACUGAGGAGGAAGUCAAUGUGGGACAAAAUCACGAAAAUGUACCAAUGAAGCAAUGUGAGAGCAAAUACCUAUUUUGGGGGGCAACAACCCUGUAACCCCCACAGACUCCGAUUUUUAAAAUUGCGUAAACAAACUUUGGUACAUCACGGGUGAAGAAGGUUGUGCUCAAGCUUCAUCGAAAUUGUGUGUGUGUGGUUUCGGAGAAGAAAGCAAAUGCAUGUUUUGGGGUCAACCUCCCAUAUAAACCCCCUUAGACACUGAUUUUUUUCAUGUUAUGAACAAACUUUAGUGCAUCACGGGUGAUGAAGGUUGUCGUCAAGUUUCAUCAGAAUUGUGUGUGUAAUCUCUGAGAUGAAAGCAAAUACCUAUUUUGGGGGGCAACCCCCCUUCCCCCAUUGACCCCGACCUUUUUGGUGUGAACAAACUUUGGUACAUCAUGAGUGAUGAAGGUUGUGGUCAUGUUUCAUCGAAAUUGUGCGUGUAGUUUCAGAGAAGAAGUUGAAAGUGUUUGUGGACUCAAAUAAAGAAGUCAACACUCAUGCCAGGAGGGUGGGGAAAUUCUGCAGGAAGGAACUGAUGAUAUCAUUGUGAUUACUGAGGCCAGGCAAGAAAAAUAUAAUUUCAGGAAAGGAAAAUCAAAAUAAAGACCAUUUACUUAAAGCACUAUAGUUCCAAGAAGGAAGCAAGACAUUAAAAACAAACAAACAAAAAAAAAAACACACACACACACAACCAAUAUCAGGAACUUAAAUAAUAACAUGGAAGAGCUUAAAGCCAAAGUAGACAGCGAGGAGUAUGAUGUAGUUGCAGUGAGUGAGACAUGAUUUAAUGAGGAGAGUAACUGGAGGACAGGAUUAGAAGGCUACAAGGUGUAUCGACGUGAUAGGAAGGAGAGAAUAGGAGGAGGAGGAGAAGGAGGAGGAGGAGGAGGAGGAGGAGGAGGAGGAGGAGAUUAGAAAUUGUAAAAACGGUAAGAUACUGGUAGGAUGCUUUUGUAGGGCUCCUGGUAUCUAUACUAACUAGUGCGUGCCUGUACGUGCGUGGCCUUACGUGCAAAAAAAGACUUUCAAAACCACGUGCCAGAAGGAACAACUACAUAGGCCGUUCCUUCGUUCUCGCGUGCCCGUACGUGCAAAAAAACAAACAAACAAACAAACAAAAAAACGUUCAAACCGUGUUCCACAAACAACAACCACACAGGCCGUUCCUUCGCUCUCGUAAACGACGACUGGAUUGGGACAUUGUGUUUAUCUAUAAAUGUGCAUAAGAAAUCGAGAAAUUAUUAGAAUACAGUAAGUCAUCACUAUCCGGAAGUCCGUACGUUGUAACCCGUAAUGGGGAACGCGCUCUAACUUGGCCAUAACUUGGGAACCAAUUGUCCGAUUAAUUUCAAACCUUUUGAAAGGCAAACAAACAGAGAUUGCUGGAAUUAUAGAUAAAUAGAAGAUAG
ensembl:lincRNA